rnacentral:rRNA from 1 species
UGCUCGAGUGGCGAACGGGUGAGUAACACGUGGGUAACCUGCCCUUGACUUUGGGAUAACUUCAGGAAACUGGGGCUAAUACCGGAUAGGAGCUCCUGCUGCAUGGUGGGGGUUGGAAAGUUUCGGCGGUUGGGGAUGGACUCGCGGCUUAUCAGCUUGUUGGUGGGGUAGUGGCUUACCAAGGCUUUGACGGGUAGCCGGCCUGAGAGGGUGACCGGCCACAUUGGGACUGAGAUACGGCCCAG